rnacentral:rRNA from 1 species
ACGAACGCUGGCGGCGUGCUUAACACAUGCAAGUCGAACGGAAAGGCCCUGCUUUUGUGGGGUGCUCGAGUGGCGAACGGGUGAGUAACACGUGAGUAACCUGCCCUUGACUUUGGGAUAACUUCAGGAAACUGGGGCUAAUACCGGAUAGGAGCUCCUGCUGCAUGGUGGGGGUUGGAAAGUUUCGGCGGUUGGGGAUGGACUCGCGGCUUAUCAGCUUGUUGGUGGGGUAGUGGCUUACCAAGGCUUUGACGGGUAGCCGGCCUGAGAGGGUGACCGGCCACAUUGGGACUGAGAUACGGCCCAGACUCCUACGGGAGGCAGCAGUGGGGAAUAUUGCACAAUGGGCGGAAGCCUGAUGCAGCAACGUCGCGUGCGGGAUGACGGCCUUCGGGUUGUAAACCGCUUUCGCCUGUGACGAAGCGUGAGUGACGGUAAUGGGUAAAGAAGCACCGGCUAACUACGUG